rnacentral:rRNA from 1 species
UACGGAGGGUGCAAGCGUUAUCCGGAUUCACUGGGUUUAAAGGGAGCGUAGGUGGCUUUGUAAGUCAGUGGUGAAAUGUCGCGGCUCAACCGCGAAACUGCCAUUGAUACUGCUUAGCUUGAAUCACGUCGAGGUGGAUGGAAUAUUACAUGUAGCGGUGAAAUGCUUAGAUAUGUAAUAGAACACCGAUCGCGAAGGCAGUUCACUAGGCGUGUAUUGACACUGAGGCUCGAAAGCGUGGGGAUCAAACAGG